AGCAACAAAGAUAGAAAAAGGGAAAACUAGUAACCAUAAACAGAUAACAAACAGUGGCAGUUGCCCCUAUGGGUAUUAAACCUGGGCCCCAAAUAUCCCUCCCGUGGUAACACAGCAAAAUAAAGGAAACCAAAAUAUCCCAAUACUCUACUCUGUCAGAGGCUUCUGGGCAGAUGAUGUUAAAAUGCUGUUUCUUUCAUAGCUGGUGUUUGGAGGGCCCUGGACCUCAAAUCCCCUGACGACCGAUUUCAGAACGAGGCGAGAGGAACACAGGAUUGGACUGGAUCCAGAACCAGGUUGAUGUAAAUAUCUCAUGAUUGGACAGCAGACACCUGGUCUCAACCCAGGUUAUUGCAGCGGCCGUUAGGUUCCGGACCUUCUACUGCUGAAGAUGGUGUCUAGCAGGAGGAACACAGAAUCUGAUGGAGCAGGUGGAACAGCUCAGGACACUCCUCGAUGAUCUGCAGUUUGCAGUCCAGCUCGUUCAAUUUGGACAUUAUGUCAGUAAGGAACCCAAAGUCUAGCAGCCAUGCAUUGACUGACACCUCAUUGCACAAUUUGUUCCUUGAUUUUAGAAAAGUGAUGAUUUGGGGCAUUAGAUCCUAAAAUCUUUGCAGGACUUUCCCCCUGCUUAACCACCUCACAUCUGCAUGGAGGAACAGCUCACCAUAAGCAGAAUCCACAUAGUCAAGUAAGGAUUUAAACAAGCAGUGCUGGAGGGCUCCUGCUUGAAUUGAUUCUGACAACGAUUUUCAUUACAUGUGAGAAGUCCAUAACUUUACUCACUAGUGCUUGCUGGUGGAUUAUAAAUGGUAAUUCACAAAUGAAGAAAAAUCUGGAUCAUUUUUGCAAAAUGCAAUAAAGUCUGCAUGUGCACCAAGCAUGGCGGGUGCACCAUUCGUUGUGA